UAAUAAGAUUCUUAGGGUCAUUUGGUGACAUGUUUUUCUAUCUUUUUGAAAAUAGAUACUGUGACUGUUUUCAAACAAAACAAAAAACAAAACAAAAAACAAACAAAAAAGAAAGAAACAACAACAAACCCCCAAAACACCUUUUAGAUAUCGAUCUUAAGGUAGAGACCGAUAGCAACCACGUGAUCAGUAAAAAUCGUGUAUUUUCACGUGAAAUUAUUUUUCGGAAUUCCGUACAUCGCCAUAGAGUAGUUGAAAAACAAAAAGGGGUUCCGAAAGUACAAGUUGCUGUGACUGAAUCGAUGAUUGAGAGGGUCGUCUCGACGAAAGAUAUAGAAAUUUGGCCAUAGUUUAGAUUAGGAAUACGUCAAUGUAAUAAUAGUGGACUACAUGUUUCGUCCGUGCAGAAUGGCACUUUUUACCUCACGAAAUUCACCACCAUGCAUAGCUGCGCUACGUAAACAAAGUUGUUGAUGUAGCGUGAUCGUGGUGUCCGAGUGCUGCGAGUUUCAAUACUGUUUAUGUAGUCAUUGAGAGUUUAAACAAAGUUUCUUCUGAGAAGAGGAAUUCGAUGGAUGCAUUCAACGUGGACAACGAAAUCAUAAUUUCGUUUGCAUCAUCCUAAGGACCAGUGCAAGUUGAAAUGGGCUUCCAGCCAACAACUUCAACAGCAAUUUGCCAUGAAAAUCAGCAAGAAAGGUACUUCAUUUACAUUGAUGAUGUCAUAUCCCCUGGACCCCACAACUUCACAGAUUACAGAGAAAAUUCAAGAACUUCUGCAAAAUGUGGGACUUGGAUAGAAUCAAUAAUGUAUUUGUGAGCCCAGAGCAAUGGAUAUAUUGUGCAACAUACUAAAGUGUGAAUUUAAUGGAAAACAAGUACAUGUACUCAUGUAUUACAUGUCUUUUUUAAAGACAAUAAUAUUGUAUAAAUAUAGAGGAAGUGUCAUUGUUGAUUAUUCUAAGUUUUUGAUAUAUCAAAAUCAGUAAACAUUUCUAAAUGAAAAUAAAAUACCAAUUUUAUAACUUUAA